CACACCGCCCGUCACACCAUGGGAGUUGAUUGCACCAGAAGCAGGUAGCCUAACCGCAAGGGGCGCCUACCACGGUGUGUUCAAUGACUGGGGUG
rnacentral:rRNA from 1 species